AGUGAACGCUGGCGGUAGGCCUAACACAUGCAAGUCGAACGGCAGCACAGUAAGAGCUUGCUCUUACGGGUGGCGAGUGGCGGACGGGUGAGGAAUACAUCGGAAUCUACUUUUUCGUGGGGGAUAACGUAGGGAAACUUACGCUAAUACCGCAUACGACCUACGGGUGAAAGCAGGGGAUCUUCGGACCUUGCGCGAUUGAAUGAGCCGAUGUCGGAUUAGCUAGUUGGCGGGGUAAAGGCCAACCAAGGCGACGAUCCGUAGCUGGUCUGAGAGGAUGGUCGGCCACAUUGGAACUGAGACACGGUCCAGACUCCUACGGGAGGCAGCAGUGGGGAAUAUUGGACAAUGGGCGCAAGCCUGAUCCAGCCAUACCGCGUGGGUGAAGAAGGCCUUCGGGUUGUAAAGCCCUUUUGUUGGGAAAGAAAAGCAGCAGGUUAAUACCCCGCUGUUCUGACGGUACCCAAAGAAUAAGCACCGGCUAACUUCGUG
rnacentral:rRNA from 1 species